rnacentral:tRNA from 1 species
UGGAAGGUAGCUCACAGGUUAGAGCGGCGACUUAGUGCGCAGGUAGUCGGUUCGAGUCCGGCCCUUUCGA